rnacentral:rRNA from 1 species
UACAGAGGGUGCGAGCGUUGUUCGGAAUUAUUGGGCGUAAAGGGCGCGUAGGCGGCGCCACAAGUCACUUGUGAAAACUCUGGGCUCAACUCAGAGCCUGCAAGCGAAACUGUGGUGCUGGAGUAUGGGAGAGGUGCGUGGAAUUCCCGGUGUAGCGGUGAAAUGCGUAGAUAUCUGGAGGAACACCGGUGGCGAAGGCGGCAUCCUGGACCGAUACUGACGCUGAGGAGCGAAAGCCAGGGGAGCAAACGGG